rnacentral:rRNA from 1 species
CAGCCUACGGGGGGCAGCAGUGGGGGAUAUUGCACAAUGGGGGGAACCCUGAUGCAGCGACGCCGCGUGGGUGAAGAAGCGCCUCGGCGCGUAAAGCCCUGUCAGCAGGGAAGAAAAUGACGGUACCUGAAGAAGAAGCCACGGCUAACUACGUGCCAGCAGCCGCGGUAAUACGUAGGUGGCAAGCGUUGUCCGGAUUUACUGGGUGUAAAGGGCGUGUAGCCGGGCUGACAAGUCAGAUGUGAAAAUUAUGGGCUCAACCCAUAACCUGCGUCUGAAACUGUAGCUCUUGAGAGUGGGAGAGG